CGUUGAGUACUCACUCACAGUGAAGUGUAGCGAAAAAAGGUGAAGAUGACACCAUCGCCUCCUUCUGUUACUUCAGAUUAAAGAGGUCACCAGAUGAAAUGAAUGUGCAGCAGAAUCAUUUCCCUGAAUUCCAGCCCUACAUUCUGCCUGCUUUCUUCCAGAAGCUUUUAAUUUUAUAUUGGGAAGAGGAGACGUGCACUCCACCCAGGUUACAGCUGGGCGUUUCUCAGCAGUUGCAUGACUCAAGAUCUAACACAUGCAGUUAGAAAUCGUUCUUUUCCUUUUCUUAUCAUGGGUUUUCCUUUUCCAUGCAGAAAGAAUUCCAUGUCUCAUGAUGCAUGUAUACAAAAGGAACAUCCCAUUUAUGUGAACACACUCCAGAAGAAAGUCUUCAGCAUCGAUAAUUUUGCCAAUAUGUUCUUGUCUCAUGAAGUGAAGGUUGUCCGGACUGCUUAAAAAAACUGGCUCAUGCAGAGAACGCAUGAGAAAGAACAUUUUGCUUCAUCCAGCUGCCUCAACAAAGAAGCAGGCAGAGAAAAUGUGCCGCUGAGGACGCGGUAAAAAAGCCUUUAAGGACGCGGUGCAUCCUCCCGAGGUGUCCCCUCCGCGCCCGGUGCCGCCGUGCGGCCCCGAGAAACGCCAAAGCACGGCCCGGGGAGCGAACCCAGCGGGAGCGGGGGGACUGCGAGCGAGGCGAGUCCGGCACGGGGCCGGACGGGACGGGCACGGGGCCGGACGGGACGGGAAGGGCACAGGGCCGGACGGGAAGGGCACGGGGCCGGACGGGACGGGCACGGGGCCGGACGGGAC
ensembl:lncRNA